rnacentral:tRNA from 1 species
GCGAAAGUAGCUCAGCUGGUAGAGCAUCAGCCUUCCAAGCUGAGGGUCGCGGGUUCGAAUCCCGUCUUUCGCU